GGGGGGGGGUGGCGGCGGGCUGGGGGCGGGGAGGGCGAACGGGAGGGCGCGGCGGGGGUGGGGGGCUGGGGGGGCGGACGGGGGAGUAACCGGGGAGUGACCUGGGCUUGCGUUUGGGGUAACUUCAGGAAACUGGGGCUAAUGCCGGAUAGGAGCUCCUGCUGCCUGGUGGGGGUUGGAACGUUUCGGCGGGUGGGGAUGGACUGGCGGCUUAUCAGCUUGUUGGUGGGGUAGUGGCUUACCAAGGCUUUGCCGGGUAGCCGGCCUGAGAGGGUGACCGGCCACAUUGGGACUGAGAUACGGCCCAGACUCCUACGGGAGGCAGCAGUGGGGAAUAUUGCACAAUGGGCGGAAGCCUGAUGCAGCAACGCCGCGUGCGGGAUGACGGCCUUCGGGUUGUAAACCGCUUUCGCCUGUGACGAAGCGUGAGUGACGGUAAUGGGUAAAGAAGCACCGGCUAACUACGUG
rnacentral:rRNA from 1 species